CCUGAGCCACUGCACCUGGCCACCUUUCACCCUUCCAAAAAGCAGCCUGUACCUUCCUUAGGUGCAUGAAGGUGAAACAAUGCCCCGAACAGGCAGGAGGGAUGUGCUUUCCUCCCCAGUCACUGGGAGUCCUGGGAGGUAUCACUGCAUUACAAAUAUAACCCACACCAAAGGCCCCUUUUCUGUCGCACAGAAUCUGUCUCCAAGGAUUCUCUGGAAAUGGAAAGUGGGAACUUGUGGGCCUUUGAGAUGGAGCAUAGUAUAGUUGUCUUCCUUUGGGUUAUAGCCUUCAGAGAGGUGCUCCUUUUCACCUUGUACAGCGUGGGCUACAAGAGGCUCUUGCCACCUUUUGCAUGUGACCAGGGAGGGAAAUGGACACCCCUCACUAGUCAGAGGAUAUUACACAUCAAUGCCCCCCCACAUCAGUGGACGUUUCUUUUCACAACUUCUUUCAUUUCUUCCUGUUUCAGUGUCUAGAACUUCCUGUUGCCACACUCUGCUCCCUUGAACUCCUUUCUAUAGAAAUAAGGGUGUUCUUGUCCCUUCAUCCAUUCUUCAGCCCUAAAAAUUUCACAGCCUCAGUCAUUUGCUAAGGAUCUACCACUUUUUAGCUCUUUCAAGCUGCUGUGGUCACAGCAGAGGAUGAUGUAAGCUCCUCUGCUCCCCUGCAUGGGGCGGGAGGGGCCGGAGAAGUGAGGGAAGAGUGGGGGCCCAGGAUUUCUCCCUUGAUUAUAGAGAUGUGGUGGAGGAUGGGGAGGCAGACGGAAAGAAAAAUGUCCCAGCUCACCCUGGCACAGAGACAUUGUUCCACAAAGAAUGCUCACUAAAAAAAUGUUUAUACUAUCAUAUUAACUUGUAAAAGAGCAAGCUAUAACAUUUUAUGUUCAAUGUAAUACAUUUUUAUUAAGGCAUAACUCCCUAAAAAUGGCUGGGUAAAAGCCUGGAAAGAGAUACACAAAUGUUAGCGGUGGUUGCUUUUUGGACGGUGUGACCAUGGCGAUUAGAAAUAUUUUUUCCCAACUUUUCACAAGAAACAUAUGGCUUUUCUCAUUUUUUUAAAAAAACGGGGUGGGGGAAAGAGCAAUUAUUUUAAGCCAGAAUGUCCAAAAUGAUGCCGUCGAGUCCAACACAAUAUUUUAGACUUUGUUAAUUCCUUUCUGUACAGGAUAGAAGACAAAGGAGGGGCUAAUCUACUUUAGCCAGAUCUAUCAAGCAAAGCAGUGGGAGUUGUUCACAUAUAAGUUCUGUACCCCCUAAAGGAGGCCCAAGUUAGUUUCUUGGCCCAUGUAAUGAAUGCUUUCUCUCUAUUGACUUUCAUUUUUUAAUAUUCUCUGUCAUGUGACAUAACAAGUCAAUGCUCCAUAAAUAUUGGUCAGUUGAAUGAAUUAAAGAAAAUAUUGAUGCUUACAGGCAGAUAGUUUUCUAGAAAAAUCUGCUUAUUUUUCUGAAUAAUUAUGAAAAACGACAUGAUUUCUAUUUUAAAAAAAAGAGAUAAUGUAUCUAUUGUCGACGGACGGUGGAUGUGAGCCAUGUGUUGUGUUCAUACUCGGAGAAUGAAGGAAAACAUCAGAGACUGGGUAAGACAUAAGCAUGAUUUUGAAGAAAUCAAUUGAAAUUUUAUGGAAAGGAACGAGGAUGUUCCAGGCAUGUGGAUUAGCUUAUGCCAAGAUCUGAUGGCUAAAGAAAGGUGAGCAUAGAGGGUGGCCAGGUUGUUGACGGGAGCAGAUGGCGUGGGCUAGAAGGAUCCUGGCAGGGGUCACUGAUAGAUAGAGGAGGAGAGAAACCCGUAGACAAACAGAUUAGAUUUCCCUCUGAUGCUGGUAAAUGCGGAGCUUUUUGUAAGUUUUGGGGGAAAGUGUGUUCCCAAACACAUAUCCUGCUCUCUUGCUCCUCUUUCUAUGGCAAAGGAGGAGAAAUUUCUUCCAGAGACAUAAGCAGGAGGAAGCUGGAGCUCUCUCCUGAGUGAUUGUCAGUUGCAGAGGAGGUGAAUAUCACAGGACAAGCAAGCGUGGGGGAGAAGACUGCCUAGACAUUCUAAAGUGGCUGCUCUGGUUGGGUGGACUGAGGGUUCCCUCCUGCAAGUUCCUGCUGAGUGUGGCUGUCCUCAGGAAACCAAGUCCCCUCUGCGGCCCUACGCAAUUAAACGAUACUGCAACGGUGAUGCUGCCACUAAUUAAUUUCUCCUCACAUCGAUGGAGACCUUUGGCUAGUGGGGCAUAAUGGAAAAUAAAAAGAAGAUCCCAAAUGCAAGCAUUCCAUCUGUCCCUGAUACGCUGGGAUUUCCUGCAGUCGUGUUUGCUUUUCACCGUCCACUGAAAGAUGUGCAUAAUCUGACAGCCUUGUGAAACACAAAGGCUGCGCGAGUGAGUUUUCCUCAUUUACUUCAACCAAAACAGCAUAUCACAAAAGAUAGAAUGAAGAAGUAAAUACAAGAAUCCAGCUGUCUUUAUUAAGCCAGACAUUAAAGAGCUUUAUUUGCAAAAAUAUAAAGCAUUACCACUGU
rnacentral:lncRNA from 1 species